UACGGGGGGGGCAAGCGUUGUUCGGAAUUACUGGGCGUAAAGGGCUCGUAGGCGGCCAACUAAGUCAGACGUGAAAUCCCUCGGCUUAACCGGGGAACUGCGUCUGAUACUGGAUGGCUUGAGUUCGGGAGAGGGAUGCGGAAUUCCAGGUGUAGCUGUGAAAUGCGUAGAUAUCUGGAGGAACACCGGUGGCGAAGGCGGCAUCCUGGACCGAUACUGACGCUGAGGAGCGAAAGCCAGGGGAGCAAACGGG
rnacentral:rRNA from 1 species